CCUACGUGGGACUGCAGUGGGGAAUAUUGCGCAAUGGGCGAAAGCCUGACGCAGCGACGCCGCGUGAGGGAUGAAGGUCUUCGGAUCGUAAACCUCUGUCAGCAGGGAAGAACGGUCACUGUGCUAAUCAGCAGUGAAUUGACGGUACCUGCAAAGGAAGCACCGGCUAACUCCGUGCCAGCAGCCGCGGUAAUACGGAGGGUGCGAGCGUUCAUCGGAAUUACUGGGCGUAAAGCGCUCGUAGGCGGUAUGUCAAGUCAAGGGUGAAAUCCCCGCGCUCAACGUGGGAACUGCCUUUGAAACUGGCAAACUGGAGUGUGUGAGAGGAUAGUGGAAUUCCAGGUGUAGGAGUGAAAUCCGUAGAUAUCUGGAGGAACAUCAGUGGCGAAGGCGACUAUCUGGCACAUAACUGACGCUGAGGAGCGAAAGCGUGGGUAGCAAACAGGAUUAGAUACCCCAGUAGUC
rnacentral:rRNA from 1 species